CGUAAUAGCUCACUGGUCGAGUCGUCGUGCGCCGACAAUGUAACGGGGCUAAGUCGUGUACCGAAGCUGCGGAUGUCUUAGGACAUGGUAGGCGAACAUUCUGGAGGCCGAUGAAGGUGUGUCGUGAGGCAUGCUGGAGGUAACAGAAGCGAGAAUGCAGGCAUGAGUAACGAAAAAGGGGGUGAGAGUCCCCCUCGCCGAAAACCGAAGGGUUCCUGGGUAAAGGUCGUCUUCCCAGGGUUAGUCGGCCCCUAAGCCGAGGCCGAAAGGCGUAGGCGAUGGGAAACGGGUUCAUAUUCCCGUACCUCUGUAUGGGUUCUGUUGGGGUGACGCAUGAGGCAACGCCCGGCCAGGCGACGGUAGUCCUGGUGUAAAUAGCAAGCUUGUGAGGUUGGUAGGCAAAUCCGCCAACUGAGGUGAGCUAUGACGCCCAGCUGCGCUACGGCAAAGCGAAGCGGGUUGAGUCACGGUGACAAGAAAGAGCCUCGAAGGUAGACCAUACAGAGACCGUACCGUAAACCAACACAGGUCGGUAGGAUGAGUAUUCUCAGGCGCGCGGGAGAACUCGCGUUAAGGAACUCGGCAACAUACACACGUAACUUCGGGAUAAGUGUGGCCUCUUGGGGAUAGCAAUAUUUCAGGGAGGUUGCAGAGACCAGGCUCAGGCGACUGUUUACCAAAAACACAGGUCUGUGCGAAGCCGUAAGGCGACGUAUACGGACUGACACCUGCCCGGUGCCGGAAGGUUAAGAGGAGGGGUUAGC
rnacentral:rRNA from 1 species